rnacentral:rRNA from 1 species
UACGUAGGGGGCAAGCGUUGUCCGGAAUCAUUGGGCGUAAAGAGCGCGUAGGCGGCCCGAUAAGUCCGCUGUGAAAGUCAAAGGGCUCAACCCUUGAAUGCCGGUGGAUACUGUCGGGCUAGAGUCCGGAAGAGGCGAGUGGAAUUCCUGGUGUAGCGGUGAAAUGCGCAGAUAUCAGGAGGAACACCGAUUGCGAAGGCAGCUCGCUGGAACGUUACUGACGCUGAGACGCGAAAGCGUGGGGAGCAAACAGG